UGUUGUGUCUUCGGGCCUUCCUGUUCAUCCCCGCGUUAGACGCGGCCGACGCCGCGCCUUGGUUGACGGGCAUUCGGCAACGAAAUCCGGGAAGAGCCAAACCAAAAAGAAGACCAUGGUUUGGAUAUAAUCGAUACUGUUACCUGAGACCAGGAGCAUGCUCUCUGUUGGUAAAGGAGAAGGCCAAAAGC